UACGGGGGGGGCAAGCGUUGUUCGGAAUUAUUGGGCGUAAAGAGCUCGUAGGCGGUUUGUCGCGUCUGCUGUGAAAACUCGGGGCUUAACUCCGGGCCUGCAGUGGGUACGGGCAGACUAGAGUUCGGCAGGGGAGACUGGAAUUCCUGGUGUAGCGGUGAAAUGCGCAGAUAUCAGGAGGAACACCGGUGGCGAAGGCGGGUCUCUGGGCCGAUACUGACGCUGAGGAGCGAAAGCGUGGGGAGCGAACAGG
rnacentral:rRNA from 1 species